ACAAAGAUAGAAUAGCGCCUUUCUAUUGCUCUCAAUUGUUUAAGUGAUUAGUUACUCAUGAUACAGUUUGCUCAGGUUGGCAUCCAAUCCUACCUAUAUUGUCGCUAAGACUUCAUAAAAAAAACUGAAAUUCUGUAGCCCUCGUCAUUGAUCAACUAAUAUUUUGACCUUCGUACAAGCAUUAAAAGGGUCAAGCUUAUCCAAAGUCAUUUCCUAUCACCAAAAAAUAGCCUUUCUUCCUCAAUAUCACUCAUCUGCAGCACAGAUUCUGAUUCAGAGAGAGCUAAUGGGACAUAGUGCAGGGCCAUCACCUAUUGUACCUUGCAUCAUAGUUGGAUUUCUGGGGAUGAUAAUAUUUUGGCCAACUCUUCUAUCCAUCUGGGAGAGUGUAGAGUCUCUACUUGAACUGGGUACUUGGGUUGCAUUCACCAUAACAGCACCCCUGGCUAUGAUUCUGAUGGAUUCGGUUUCGGGUCAGGAACGUUGUUUCUAGGUCUUCUCUUCCUUGUCCUCUAUAAUUUGUUGUAAUCUUGGUCUAGUAUUAGCAAACUGUAGUUACUUCUUAGCACUUCCACCCCUGCUUUCGUAUACAUAUGCAGUAGCCUUUCCAAAAAGUCAAAAGUUUAAAUC